rfam:Lottia gigantea unplaced genomic scaffold LOTGIsca_1482, whole genome shotgun sequence.
AUCGCUUCUCGGCCUUUUGGCUAAGAUCAAAGUGUAGUAUCUGUUCUUAUCAGCUUAAUAUCUGAUACGUACCCCAUCGGGGUACUUCGAUAUUAAACUGAUUUUUGGACCUAGAUGAGGUGCCCGGAGCUUGCUCCGCCCUCAUCACGGGUUGCCCUGGUAUUGCAGUACUUCCAGGCGUGGCCCACCCUCA